UACGAAGGGGGCUAGCGUUGCUCGGAUUGACUGGGCGUAAAGGGCGCGUAGGCGGUUCGUACAGUCAGACGUGAAAUUCCUGGGCUCAACCUGGGGGCUGCGUUUGAUACGUGCGGACUUGAGUGCGGAAGAGGGUCGUGGAAUUCCCAGUGUAGAGGUGAAAUUCGUAGAUAUUGGGAAGAACACCGGUGGCGAAGGCGGCGACCUGGACGAUUACUGACGCUGAGACGCGAAAGCGUGGGGAGCAAACAGG
rnacentral:rRNA from 1 species